rnacentral:rRNA from 1 species
AACGAACGCUGGCGGCAGGCUUAACACAUGCAAGUCGAGCGCCCCGCAAGGGGAGCGGCAGACGGGUGAGUAACACGUGGGAACAUACCCUUUACUACGGAACAACUCCGGGAAACUGGCGCUAAUACCGAACGCGCCCUUCGGGGGAAAGAUUGCUCGGUAAAGGAUUGGCCCGCGUGGGAUUAGCUAGUAGGUGGGGUAAAGGCCUACCAAGGCGACGAUCCAUAGCUGGUCUGAGAGGAUGAUCAGCGACAUUGGGACUGAGACACGGCCCAAGCUCCUACGGGAGGCAGCAGUGGGGAAUAUUGGACAAUGGGCGCAAGCCUGAUCCAGCCAUGCCGCGUGAGUGAUGAAGGCCUUAGGGUUGUAAAGCUCUUUCACCGAUGAAGAUAAUGACGGUAGUCGGAGAAGAAGCCCCGGCUAACUUCGUGCCAGCCGCCGCGGUAAAAC